CUUCCUCUGUCUAUAAAGUGAUGGGAACCCUUCAUAGGCCACAACCCUGUAGAAAUCCUAACACAAAUUGUCCUCUCCAUCUAGUCCAAGUACAGCAUGAGCUGCUUCCAGCCCAGGCUCCCCAAUACCACAAGCAAACGCAGCACUUCCUCAGGAAAUGGCCCAGGAAGAUGUCCAUCCACCUCGAGCUAACGGAGCAUUGGUUGUGGGUCAAUCAGGCUGGUGUGUUAAGCCUCCUUCCUAGGAUACGUGGAGUGCUUAAGGACUUGGAAGAAAAAGGAACCUGAAGAGACAAAGACAGAGGCUGGCCCCUGCCCCUCACUUCCCACCUCCCUGCUUUCUGCUGCAAAAGGAAUCUAUGCGGAGUCCCGGGGGCCUGGCAAUAGAGCAAGUGUGUUCUGGAAGGGUAGACCAGCAGAAUGAUGAGUGGCAAGCCGAAUUAAGGGCAGGUCCUGCCAGUCCAGGGAAACAAAUGGGAAAAGUCAGACUGAAGGAAAAGAAGAGUGUUUCUGAAUGGCCCAAUGGACUGGAGCUGACAAACCACGGGAAGUGAUUUAAAAGUGCCUCCAGGUAAAACCAGAGAGAAACUUAACUACUAUCACCAGUUAGCAUAGAAUUUUGACCUUUCAUCUAAAUUAUUUGGAGCAAAUGUACAGGGGAAUUUAAUUUUAGAAAACGGGCAAAGAGAGUCAGAGCUAGACUUCCUCCUCCAACACACACAGCACAGGUGGAGAAGCCCGGGGGGAGCUGAAGUUCCCCAAAUGCUCGGUUGCCAUCACAACGGAAGAGAAUAUAACCUCUUUGUUACCAGGGCAGGCAAUUAUGUGAGUGUUCCUGGAAACCUAAGCCCUUUUGUGAGUUAGAGAUGAUGGAACAAUAACGAAAGAAAGACAAUCCUUUUAUCACCAGAAAAUAAGUGUUAGUUUUCAGACAACACUUCCGCAUCUCGAUGCCUGGGUGAUGUUUUUCAGUGACCAACACAGGACUUAGGAAAAGACGUCGUGUCAUGCUGUUCAAGGUCACUAAGAUCUGGCCUUGCCCCCAGGUGUCAGGGACUAGACUGGAGGAUGGCGUGAGUGUUUACCGCUAGCUACAUUCAAGAUCAGCACUCCAUUUCAUCAGGAAGACUCUCACCCUGGCUAACACGACCCAUUCUCAUUUCUCCCCUCUCCCUCUCCCCUCCCCCUUCUGCCUCUCUCCUCCCUCCCACUCCCCUCCCCCAACACAGUUUUUUCCCAGAUGCUCCAUGGUCCCCCAUGCAAACAGAUUAUUGGCAGGUACAACCCACCAUUCCUUAAGACUCAACUAAAUCCUGAGGUAAGAACCUCAGCUAAAAGCCCUGAAGCUAAAAGCCCUUCUACUUAGAAGUGUCUUCCUGGGGAAGGAGGGUGGCGUGCAAUGUUGUGGAGAGCUCAGUCUUCGGCCUCAGAAAGAUCAGAAUUUUAAUCCCAGAUGUGUCAUUAUCUAUAAAAUUAGAUUAAUAACGUCAACUUUUUAGGGUUGAGGAUAAAAAUGAAAUAGUGUAUGUAAAAUACACUGCAAAGAUAUCUAUUAUUUUUAUUUUUCAUUAUCCUGUUGGUCACUCUAAGGGCUGGUAGCUACCCUGGCUUUGCUCCCAUCAAUAUUAUUUAUCAGUUGCAUUCUGCAUCUCAUCUCCAUAAAAGGCCUCUCAUCUCCCCUCCCAUGUGGUUCAUCUGUAUGUUUCCUAUCUCCCCUUGCUCCAGGCUUAAUGUCUCCCACUUUACUCGCUGAUGAAAGCGUGCACCCAGUUCUGAUGCUCUGACAGCUAUACUGUAUACCUGCACUGACACUAGCCCUCAGCAGUUAUGCAUCUAUAAAAAGAAAGGCUGCCCCAUCCCAUUUUACCCAAGGCCCCUGGCAUCCAGUACCUGAGCCAUUGAAAUUGCUUUGGUUUUGAAUAGAAGUUUGUCAAAAUCUUCAUAAAGGGCUCAUAUGCAAUUCCAUUAUCAAGAGGCAUGUCCAGAAAUGACAAUGGUAAUGAAAAAUAUUGACUAGAGCAGCAAAGCUCAAUUUUUUAGCAGUCAAAAUUACACCUUUUCAUUAAACUGAGGCCCCAGAGAGCAAAAAAAAAAGAUAAUUAAGCAGACUUAUGAUGAAAAGUUACAGAUAACUUCUUCCUGUUCAAGGUAACCAGAAGUGCAGACACUCAGAGAAGGAAGCAUGUUGUGCAGAAGUCUAGGGGAAUGGCCUCCAGGGGCAUUUAAAUUGUCAUCUCUUCCCACAGCAGCUUCUUCCUCCCUAGUCCUCAGAGGCAGUCUCUGAGUCAAUGUCAGUAGCAUGCGACAUCUCUGACCUCCUGGAGAGAUGCAGGGAGCUCAACAGCAACAAAUAGACCCCGUAGAAGAAACUCCAGAAGGCAAUGUCCAGACUCGCACAGCAUACCACUAGCCUUUGCUCAAAAUCCACCAGGGGUUGGCUGUUGCCUACUGUAUCAAGCCCUAACUACUCAGCUUGGCACCCAAGGUCGUCUUCAGACCAGCACAGGCCUGCUUUCCCCAUCUGUGCUCCACUUCUCCCCCUACCCACUCCCAUGCUGGUUAAUCAACUCCUUCCCCACACUGUGCCCCGACCACUUCACCUUUGUUCAUGCUGUGCCCACAAUCACCUUUUCCAACCCUCACUCAUGCCUUGAUUCUCCAUACUCUCAUCACACUGAUGUCUAUAUUUGUUCAAGGUCUGUUACUAUCCUCUCCUUAAUUAGACUGUGCAUUCAUCAAAAAAAGGGAUGGGAAUGUUUACAUUUCUGUAUACCCAUAGUCCCUACCACAAGGCUGGAUUCAUAAUAAGUUUUCAAUAAAUGUCACUGAACAGUUAACUCUCUUCUAGGUAAACAGAGCUGAACGUAAAUGAGCAUAUUUUAUGUCAAAGGUGAAGGGAAAACAAGGGAAAAGAAUUCAUGUUUGAUGAAUUCUAACUAGAAACUACACUGUGCUUCCCACGUUAUCUUAUGAAUUCCUUGCAACGUCUAUGAAAUUGUGCUAUCCCAUUUUACAGAUUAAAAAAAAAAUUCCAGAGACAUUAAGCAACUCUGCCAAGGGUAGGACAAUUUGUAAAUGACAGAGCACAAUUCAUAUUCACCUCAAUCUAACUCCAAAGCAUGUGCUCAUUCCAAGAAUUUUUAUCAUCAUCGUCACCAUAGCCAUUCUCAUCUGCAGUAGCACUGAGCCAUUUAACUACAGAGAGACCUUUAAUGGGUGCUCUCUGCAUCUUUUCAGGCUACAGACCUUAGGUAGACAAUAGAAGACAGGAACCUAUCCGUGACAAGGAAAAAUUUUUACACUUCCCUUGACCACUUUCCAGAAGAGUCCACCAAACAAGCAAGGAGCAUAUGUCCCAAAAGGCCCCCACCCACAUAUUGAUUCUUCUCCCAUCUUUGACCAAUUCACUGACUGGAGCAAUGGUGAAGACUUGGGUCAUCUGAAUACACAAAAAACUCAAAG
ensembl:lncRNA